rnacentral:rRNA from 1 species
ACGAACGCUGGCGGCGUGCUUAACACCUGCAAGUCGAACGGAAAGGCCCUGCUUUUGUGGGGUGCUCGAGUGGCGAACGGGUGAGUAACACGUGAGUAACCUGCCCUUGACUUUGGGAUAACUUCAGGAAACUGGGGCUAAUACCGGAUAGGAGCUCCUGCUGCAUGGUGGGGGUUGGAAAGUUUCGGCGGUUGGGGAUGGACUCGCGGCUUAUCAGCUUGUUGGUGGGGUAGUGGCUUACCAAGGCUUUGACGGGUAGCCGGCCUGAGAGGGUGACCGGCCACAUUGGGACUGAGAUACGGCCCAGACUCCUACGGGAGGCAGCAGUGGGGAAUAUUGCACAAUGGGCGGAAGCCUGAUGCAGCAACGCCGCGUGCGGGAUGACGGCCUUCGGGGUGUAAACCGCUUUCGCCUGUGACGAAGCGUGAGUGACGGUAAUGGGUAAAGAAGCACCGGCUAACUACGUG